AUGCAUCUAGUUCAUCAUGAUCGAAAUUAUAUAUAUAAUUUUUGGCCUCGUGAAGGAGAAAGUAUCGCUCUAGCUUGGGGGAGGCUUAAGUCAAUGUUUUAUUCAUGCCCCAAUCAUGAGCUCUCAAGAGAAAUUAUUAUUGAGAAUUUUUAUGCUCGGCUUUCUCGUAAUGAUCAAACCAUGCUCGAUACUUCUUGUACUGGUUCUUUUAUGAAGAAGACUAUUGAAUUCCGGUGGGAUCUUUUAGAAAGAAUUAAGUGCAACUCUGAAGAUUGGGAACUCGACGAAGGUAACGAGUCAGGUAUUGAACCUAAGUUUGAUUGUGUUAAAUCUUUUAUGAAUACCGAAGCUUUUCAAAAGUUUAGCACUAAAUAUGGACUUGACUCUGAGAUAGUAGCUUCCUUCUGUGAAUCUUUUGCUACUCAUGUUGAUCUCCCUAAGGAUACGUGGUUUAAAUAUCACCCACCAAUUAAAGAAGAAAUUAAAGAACCGGUAAAAGCUAAAGAAGAAACUAUCAUUUACAAUGUUGAUCCAGUUGUUCCUACUGCUUAUAUUGAAAACCCACAUUUCCCUGUUAGGAUGAAGGAACAUGCUAAAGCUUCAACUGUGGUUAACAAAAGUUAUGUUAGAACACCCAAACCAUCUGAACAAAUCAGAGUUGAACCUAAUGUUGCUAUGGUUAAAGAUCUCUUAGUUGAUAAUAUUGACGGACAUGUUAUUUACUUCUGUGGUGAAGCUUCUAGAAUUGCCAAACCUGAAGGAAAAGAUAAACAUAGACCAGUUGUUGGCAUGCAUGUUGUCUCAGUUAAGAUAGGAGAUCACUGUUAUCAUGGGUUAUGUGACCUAGGUGCCAGUGUGAUGCUAUUCCUUAUUCCUUAUAUGAAGAAAUUAAAGAUGAAGUAG
rnacentral:rRNA from 1 species